AGGUGAACGAAUCAAUUCUCUUUCUGGCUCUGACUGCAUAGGUUAGUGUAUGAGGCUGUCACGUGAUGAACGAACGACUCAAACCCGAUGACUCGGGAGGUGAACGAAUCAAUUCUCUUUCCGGCUCUGACUGCAUUGGUUAGUGUAUGAGGCUGUCACGUAAUGAACAAACGACUCAAACCCAUGACUUGUCAGAUAGAGGUGAGGUGAGCUAAUCAAGACCCAGCUUUCACACAUGUCACCCCUGGGAUGGUAGCAUGUUAAGUUGCAGGGACUCAGGGUCUCUCUGGAGCUGCUGUUAAGUGCCUCGCUCAAGAGCACAACGGUGACGGGGCACAAGCUGAUAGGAUUUCUCAUCUUUGGGCUUAAUAACAUGCCACACUCCCUUGCUUGCACUUCCUAUUGAACUGAUGAAAUCAAUAUGGUUAUGCACGUUCUCAAAAGCUCGGGCAUUUUACUAGAACCAUGUGCAAUUUUGUGCCAUCAGGCAGGUGUGCUGUGAAUAGAUGCUUUGUAUCAGAUCCUCAGAUUCAUUCCAUUCCAAAUUCAAUGAAUGAAUGAAUCAAAUGGAUGAAUGGGACAGCACAGUAUGUGCAGAUUUAUCAGCGGAUAAGAACGUGGGCGAACAAAUGAAUGUGUAAUGGAAAG